AUGGGAGCUCUCAUAUACACAUUUGACAUGACAUAGAUAUUUCCCAUUAUACAAAUUAAGUUUUGGAUUUAGUAAGAAGAUAACUGUCCCAAGAUAAACAUUCUCAUGGAUACAGUAGAGUAUUUUAAAUGGUAUAUUGCUACAGUAAGGAAUGGAAGGACAAUUUCAGUUUGACUCUGGUGGUCGUGUCUCCAUUCUGAAGAGAUCGACCCUUG